GGGCAUGUAGCUCAGUUGGUAGAGCGCGUCAUUAGCAAGCGCAGGUCUUCUCUCGAAGAACAAAAGCGCCGAUUACUUGACGAGGUCUUUGGUUCGAUUCCUAACCUGUCCA
rnacentral:tRNA from 1 species